CUAAGAUCAAGAAUAAGUCAAGAAUGCCAGGUCUCACCACUUCACUACAACACUGCACUGGAGGUUCUAGCCCAGGAAUCGCAGCUCGCUGCCCAGCCACUGACUGGUACCUGUCCCUGUCUAUGGCCUGUUAGGAACAAGGCCACCCAGCAGGAGGUGGGCAGCCAGCGAAGCUUCAUCUGUAAUUCCAAACUUUAUAUGGAAGUGCAAAGUACAUAAAACAGCCAAAACAACUUUGAAAAAACACUAACAAAGUUGGAGUAUUUACACUACCUGUUUUUAGGACUUAUACAGUAAUUAAGAUUGCAUGGUAUUGACAUAAACAUAGAUCAAUAGAUCAAUGUAAAAUAAUAAAGAGUCCAGAAGUAAAACCACACAUAUAUGGUCAAUUGAUUUUUGACAAAGGUGCCACGGCAAUUUAAUGGGUAAAGAAUAAUCUUUUCAAAAAAUGAUACUAGAACAAUGAGUAACAAUAUGCAAAAAAAUACUAACACUUACUUCAUGUCACGUACAAAAAUUAAUUCAAAAUGCAUCACAGACCUAAAUGUGAGAGAUAAAACUAUAGAACGUUAGAGUAUUGCUCAUUAGAACAUUUUGCAGUGAUGGCACUACUAUUUGUCGUACUGAUCAAGAUAAUUGCCACUAGUCCCCUGUGACGACUCAGCACUGGACAUGUGGCUGGUUGACUGAAGGACGUUACUUAUGGAUAAACAACUGUCUCUCCCUACAGCAGAA
rnacentral:lncRNA from 1 species